ensembl:misc_RNA Y_RNA Y RNA
GGCUGGUCCGAUGGCAGUGGGUUAUCAGAACUUAUUAACAUUAGUGUUACUAAAGUUGGUAUACCACCCCCCCACUGCUAAAUUUGACUGGCUUUAA